UGCAAGUCGAGCGGAAACGACACCUUCGGGUGGGCGUCGAGCGGCGGACGGGUGAGUAACGCAUAGGAAUCUGCCCGGUCGUGGGGGAUAACCUGGGGAAACUCAGGCUAAUACCGCAUACGUCCUACGGGAGAAAGGGGGCUCCGGCUCCCGCGAUCGGAUGAGCCUAUGUCGGAUUAGCCGGCUGGUGAGGUAACGGCUCACCAGGGCGACGAUCCGUAGCUGGUUUGAGAGGAUGAUCAGCCACACCGGGACUGAGACACGGCCCGGACUCCUACGGGAGGCAGCAGUGGGGAAUAUUGGACAAUGGGCGCAAGCCUGAUCCAGCCAUGCCGCGUGUGUGAAGAAGGCUUUCGGGUUGUAAAGCACUUUCAGUGAGGAAGAACGCUGUCGGGUUAAUACCCCGGCAGAGAGACAUCACUCACAGAAGAAGCACCGGCUAACUCCGUGCCAGCAGCCGCGGUAAUACGGAGGGUGCAAGCGUUAAUCGGAAUGACUGGGCGUAAAGCGCGCGUAGGCGGCACGAUCAGCCGGUUGUGAAAGCCCCGGGCUCAACCCGGGAACCGCAUCCGGAACUGUCGCGCUGGAGUGCAGGAGAGGAAGGUAGAAUUCCCGGUGUAGCGGUGAAAUGCGUAGAGAUCGGGAGGAAUACCAGUGGCGAAGGCGGCCUUCUGGACUGACACUGACGCUGAGGCGCGAAAGCAUGGGUAGCAAACAGGAUUAGAUACCCUGGUAGUCCAUGCCGUAAACGAUGUCGACCAGCCGUUGGGGUCCUGGAGACCCUUGUGGCGAAGUUAACGCGAUAAGUCGACCGCCUGGGGAGUACGGCCGCAAGGUUAAAACUCAAAUGAAUUGACCGGGGCCCGCACAAGCGGUGGAACAUGUGGUUUAAUUCGAUGCAACGCGAAGAACCUUACCUACCCUUGACAUCCUGCGAACCCGGAAGAGAUUCCGGGNGCCUUCGGGANCCCANGAACAGGUGCUGCAUGGCUGUCGUCACCUCC
rnacentral:rRNA from 1 species